rnacentral:misc_RNA from 1 species
GAAAAGGGUCUUCUGGUGGUGUAUUUAUGGCACCAUCAUUGAGCUUAAGUCUAUGGUUUUAUUAAUUUCCUCAACUACCAACUUUAUUUCUGACUCAUUUACAUAUAAGCCCUCUUCCAAUAACCCUCCAAAGAUAAAAGAGUUGUUUUCUUCAACUUUAAAUUCCAUUUCUUCUUCAAAUAACUUCUUUUCUUGUGGGAACUCUAUUGGAAACUCAUCUUC